CCUACGGGUGGCAGCAGUGAGGAAUAUUGGUCAAUGGGCGGAAGCCUGAACCAGCCAAGUAGCGUGCAGGAUGACGGCCCUACGGGUUGUAAACUGCUUUUAUACGGGAAUAACGCGCCUUACGUGUAGGGCUUUGCAUGUACCGUAUGAAUAAGGACCGGCUAAUUCCGUGCCAGCAGCCGCGGUAAUACGGAAGGUCCGGGCGUUAUCCGGAUUUAUUGGGUUUAAAGGGAGCGUAGGCGGCAUGUCAAGCGUGCUGUGAAAUGUUCGGGCUCAACCCGGGCAUUGCACCGGGAACUGGCGGGCUUGAGUGCGCGGAAGGCAGGCGGAAUUCGUGGUGUAGCGGUGAAAUGCUUAGAUAUCACGAAGAACUCCGAUUGCGAAGGCAGCCUACUAAACUGCCACUGACAUUGAUGCUCGAAAGUGUGGGUAUCAAACAGGAUUAGAUACCCCAGUAGUC
rnacentral:rRNA from 1 species